rnacentral:lncRNA from 1 species
GAGCAAGAGGGUCUACUAAUGGCUUGUACUUGCAUUGAAGGUUGGCAAAAUUAAGAAACAUUGGCGAUUCUCCGUGCCUAUCAAAUUAAUUUAAUUUUGAAUAUGGCCUCGAACAAGUCGCUACAAUUUAAAUUCUUGAUUUAGUUUUUCCGAUAUAAACGAUCAAAUGUUAAUCUUCUGUUAAUUUAAUUGACUUUUACCAUAAUAUGGCCUCACUACUAUAUCUCUUCCUCACUGAAAAAUAUAAUUAA